rnacentral:rRNA from 1 species
AUUGAACGCUGGCGGCAGGCUUAACACAUGCAAGUCGAACGAUGAAGUCUAGCUUGCUAGACGGAUUAGUGGCGAACGGGUGAGUAAUGCUUAGGAAUCUGCCUAUUAGUGGGGGAUAACGUAGGGAAACUUACGCUAAUACCGCAUACGACCUACGGGUGAAAGGGGGCUUUCAGCUCUCGCU